rnacentral:SRP_RNA from 1 species
GCCGGGCCUGGAGCACGCACUUGUAGUCCCAGCUACUCGGGAGGCUGAGGUGGGAGGAUCGCUGGAGUUCAGGAGUUCUGGGCUGCAGUGUGCCAUGCUGAUCCGGUAUCUGCACUAAGUUCGGCAUCAAUUUGGUGACCUCUUGGGAGUAGGGGGAACACCAGAUUGCCUAAGGAGGGGUGAACCGGCCCAGGUCCGAAACGGAGGAGGUUAAGUGUCCCUCUUGUCUAUUCAGGAGCGAGAGAAGACUUGUAGGAUCUUGAGUCACACACUUGGCCAUUACGUGUCUACGUUGUGUGCUCCCACUGCAU